AAUUUCUAUUACAAUUGCAGGAGUAAAUUCUAAGAUAGGAAUUAACUUUCCAGGGGAGACUAGCACAAUUAACAGCAAGAUUUGUUCAUUCAAUGGGAGACAACUCAUUUUCAUUAUUCAAAUUAGUUGAGUGCAGAAUUCAAAUCAUAAACCUUGACUACUUUUGUUUGUUUUUCAAUCUUUACAAAAUAUGUGGAUUUUAUACUAUUGGUACUUGAAGUACUUUCUGUGGCAUGUUUUCAUGGUGUGGGAAUAAGACUUGGUGGUCAAAUACAGCUAAUAUGUAGGUUAGCACCACAGCUUGUCUGCAAGGAUUGAAGCUGGGAAACGGCCAUUGGAGCUGAAUUUUAUGGAAGCUGUGGCUGCAGCAAUGAUUAUGUGAUAAAACUGAAGAAUGUUAUUCAAAUUUUUUUUGUAUAUAUUUCAAAAAAUGUUAUUUUUUAUAAAAAAAAAAAAAAAAAAAAAAAAAAGUGUAAAGAUUCUCCAUUUUCAAUUAGAUUGGAAGCUUGUAUUUACAAAUGUUAGAUCUUCUUCGUUAUUCCCCCACCCCCUGUAUCUCUAUUUCAUUUUUACUUUUAAAAUGAAAUGGAACAGACAAAUUUUACUUGUCAACUUAAUAAUGGUCUGUCUAGUCAAAAGGCCUCCAGUUGGUUUAGAAUGGAGAAUCUAAAAAAAAAUAUGUUAAGUGUUUUUUUUUUAGUUUCCUGAAUUUUUAUAUACAUUUUGUUAUUGCUCCCUUUCAAUUUUUAUAAAUUCCAGAUUUUAAGUUUUGGAUUUAUGGGGCUUUAUUCAUAAAAAGGGGGGAUUUUUCACACCUGGACAAUAACUCAAAAAGGCUUUCACCAAUGUCCAUGAAACUUUGGUGAAUUGUUUAUAUCUAUUGACAUAAGCUCCCUUUCUCUUUUUAUUAAUUUUAGAUUUUACGUUUUCUUAAGUAAUGAAUUUUUAUACUUAAAAAAGGGGGAUUUUAUGCAGUUUUGGUGAAACUUAAAAGAGCAACGGCCGUAUCAUGUGCUAAAGCGCAUCCCUUUAUUGAAAUGUGUUGUAGUUUUUACAUAUCAUUAUUUCUUUAUUUUAAUUAUACAAAUUUUGUAUUGUUAAAUAUUUAAAUGGUGUGGAGUCUCAACAGGAUGAAAUUUUCAGGACAAAAGGGAGGUAAUUCCUUUGUUAUACUCAUUAUACUUGAAAUUUCCUGAGUGUUUAUAUGGAAUAUAACUUUUUUAAUUAAAAUAUUCACUUUUGUACACAUUUUCUUUAAAUAUCAGAUGUAUACUUGCUAAAAUUACUAUUAUUUAGAGUUCUGUAAAUAAAAAAAAAUGUAAGCAGAGCUCUAGCUAUAGAUAAUAGAUUUGGAGGGUGGGAGAAAUUGUGGGUAACUACAAUUGAUUAGGUGAAAUUUCAAAAGACUUAAAAAGUGCAUCUGAUAUUUAUUUUUACAUAAUGUUAUUUCUGAAAGCAAAUGGACAAUAAGAUGAGGACAUAAACCACCUUCCAGGUUAGGAUAGCAGCUCUUAAGGAAGAUGGUCAAUUAAAUCUUCAACCCAGUCUGAGGCCUUACCAUGAAAAAUAUGUGGUUAGCAUCACAAGUUUCCUUUGGGUAACUUGCUUGAGGAGUAAAGAGAGCUGUUUAAGUUGAAAGUGUCACCUUUGCUGCCUUGUGUGGUACAAUCUUCAGACAAUAUCCUGCAAACCGUGGCUGAACUGUUACUAUCUUUUUUUAGUAGAAUCCUUAGACAGUGAUCCUGUGG